UAACUGCAGGCUGGCUGGCCCCCAGGCUCACUGGACAAGUUAUUUCUUCCAAAGGCUCACCCUCAAGCAUGACUAGGAGU
rnacentral:pre_miRNA from 1 species